ensembl:rRNA 5S_rRNA 5S ribosomal RNA
UCUACCGCCAUACCCCUCUGAACGUGCCCGAUCUCUUCUGAUCUCAGAAGCUAAGCAGGGUCAGGCCUGGUUAGUACUUGGAUGGGAGGAAGGAGCUUAGGUAAGGCUUCUGGGAAGCAGGCCCCAGGCAGGU